GACGAACGCUGGCGGCGUGCUUAACACAUGCAAGUCGAACGGAAAGGCCCUGCUUUUGUUGGGUGCUCGAGUGGCGAACGGGUGAGUAACACGUGAGUAACCUGCCCUUGACUUUGGGAUAACUUCAGGAAACUGGGGCUAAUACCGGAUAGGAGCUCCUGCUGCAUGGUGUGGGUUGGAAAGUUUCGGCGGUUGGGGAUGGACUCGCGGCUUAUCAGCUUGUUGGUGAGGUAGUGGCUUACCAAGGCUUUGACGGGUAGCCGCCGUGAGAGGGUGACCGGGAAAAGUGGGACUGAGAUACGGCAGGGAGUCCUAAGGGAGACAGGAGUGGGGAAUAUUGUACGAUGGGCGGAUGCCUGGUGCAGGAAGGCCGCGUGCGGGAUUACGGCCUUCGGUUUUUAAGGAGCUUUCGCCUGUGAUGUUGCGUGAGUGACGGUAAUCGAUAAAGAAGCACCGGCUAACUACGUG
rnacentral:rRNA from 1 species